rnacentral:lncRNA from 1 species
UUAUAUCACUGAUUCUCCCAAGCCUCCACCUGAGAGGAUUACUUUCACACUCCCUGUAAUCAACUCUGCUUCUAAUGUUGCUAUGGUGGCUGUGGGCGAGGAGAAGGCCAUGGCAGUGCACCUUGCCGCUGCUGGCGCCGGUGAGAACUUUGAUGCCUCUUCGUUGCCUGCUAGGAUGGUUCAGCCAACUGAUGGAAAAUUAGUGUGGUUCUUGGAUUCGACGGCUGCCUCGGUUUUGGAUGUCAGUAACGGCGGCUCCGGGUAAGCUAUGUGAUAACUGUGGGGCCCUGUUGAUGUGUCUAUGUAGAUCGAU